rnacentral:rRNA from 1 species
AAAAGGAUCUCGUUGGUGACCAGCGGAGGGACAUUACCGAGUUUACAACUCCCAAACCCAAUGUGAACGUUACCAAACUGUUGCCUCGGCGGGAUCUCUGCCCCGGGUGCGUCGCAGCCCCGGACCAAGGCGCCCGCCGGAGGACCAACCAAAACUCUUAUUGUAUACCCCCUCGCGGGUUUUUUUUAUAAUCUGAGCCUUCUCGGCGCCUCUCGUAGGCGUUUCGAAAAUGAAUCAAAACUUUCAACAACGGAUCUCUUGGUUCUGGCAUCGAUGAAGAACGCAGCGAAAUGCGAUAAGUAAUGUGAAUUGCAGAAUUCAGUGAAUCAUCGAAUCUUUGAACGCACAUUGCGCCCGCCAGUAUUCUGGCGGGCAUGCCUGUCCGAGCGUCAUUUCAACCCUCGAACCCCUCCGGGGGGUCGGCGUUGGGGAUCGGCCCUGCCUUGGCGGUGGCCGUCUCCGAAAUACAGUGGCGGUCUCGCCGCAGCCUCUCCUGCGCAGUAGUUUGCACACUCGCAUCGGGAGCGCGGCGCGUCCACAGCCGUUAAACACCCAACUUCUGAAAUGUUGACCUCGGAUCAGGUAGGAAUACCCGCUGAACUUAAGCAUAUCAAUAAGCGGAGGA